AGCUGCGUGGUGAGCACAAAGCGAACUAUUCUUUCGCCUUUUACUAAAGAAUACCGUGUGCACGCCACACUAAGAAGCAUACACUAAUUUUUUGAGGGUGUUUUCUCUUUGUGAGAAAG
rfam:Triticum urartu cultivar G1812 contig209414, whole genome shotgun sequence.